UUUCCCAUCUUAGCAUAAAGAAAAUAGCUGGGCAGAUCGUAAUUAUGUCAGCUGUGGACCCCCCAAAAAAAGGAGCAAGCUUGCUUAUUUCUUACAAGCAAGAAAAUGGUUGGCUUACAUGGGACAGAUUCGGAUGUCUGCCUGCUAGCAUGGUGGGCAGAACUUGAAUGAUAGAUGGUCUUGGUUUAAGUGGGGAUUUGAGCUUAAAGAAGGGGUAGAAUAUGAAGAAUGGGUGGCUGGAAAUCUGUUGAGCGAAGAAGUGUGGUUAAUUUGUUGAUGAAGGCAAGGAAAGUAUGGAAAUUCAGGGUUUGCAAUGAUGUGGCUACAGGGAACAAUUUUAGGCUUGCAAUAUAACUGGAAGAGGUAAGAGAAGGGGGAGGGACCAGCAGCUUCUGUAUAGGGGUGUGAAUUAGCACAGAAUCAAAAUUCAGGGCAGAGCCACUCCAACCCACUCUGUUUCUAGGAUUUCUAAUUGCAUUUGUUUGGAGUGCAAGGAUUUGUGCAAUGGGCCUAUGUGCUGAAGUCUUGACAAUCGUGCUCAGAGUCAGACCAGGCUUUAGUCUGUGGUUG
rnacentral:misc_RNA from 1 species